GUGGCUGUGGUGUAGCGGUAGCACACUAGGCUGUGAACCUAGAGGAUACGAGUUCAACUCUCGCAGCCACC
rnacentral:tRNA from 1 species